AGAUAAUAGAUACAUAACCUCCCAUCUCCUAACCCACGUUUCUUUUUCCAAUAUUUCACUCCUGAAAUCGCGCCAUAUUUUCUUUCCUAUGAUCUUAUCAUUUUAAUUUUGAAUUUUUUUUUCUCUCUCCAGUCAAAGAAUUUCCCAUUCUUUCUAGGUAUUGUUUCUAUUUCAUUACUUUUGUUCAUAGUUUUUUAAAAAAAGAAUCAAAAUUCUGAUAUGUUUAUGGAGGAUCCUCCUUCAUUUAUCUUAGGUUUUAUUCAGAUAACGUCAUCCGAUAAAUCAUGUUUAUGAACAUGAAGAAGUAUGUUGGGUUGAGAAUAGAUCUAAAAAAUUGUUUGAUUCUCUAGUUAUUGCCAAUGGUGAGUAUCGAGAAGGUGAAGAAGGAUGUGUUUUCUUCUUCAAAAGCAAAGAUUGGGAAAACCCCUAAAAAAAAGGAGUAAAAAAAAUAUCAUCCCCAAUUUCUUGUUCGAAUCUACUCGAGGGAUUGUGGAUUGUUUGUAGCGCGUUUUCUGAAUUUACUAGCGAUGAAAUUAUAAUCCAAUCUGAUGCUUUCUGGUCUGAUUAUCUCUUCUCAAGAUAUUCAGCUUUGCUAAGAAAAUAUGGCAGUCAAAAGGCGCAGAAGGUAUAUUAGUGAUAAUGACGAUCCAUCAAAGCCUAAGCGUCAUUUCAUACCACCAAAUCAUAACGGUUUAGUUUAUCCGGAAUAGUUUCUGUGUAUAGAUGAAUAGACAGUUUUUUUUAGUUAAGUACUACUUUCAAUGUACAUUAACUUAAGUAUUGGAGUGUUUCUCUAAAAACUUAUUUUGUCUGACUUUUAAUGUCAAUAUAUUUUUUUCCUUAA